KCCAGCAGCCGCGGUAAUUCCAGCUCCAAUAGCGUAUAUUAAAGUUGUUGCAGUUAAAAAGCUCGUAGUUGAACCUUGGGCCUGGUUGGUCGGUCCGCCUCACCGCGUGCACUGAUCCGACCGGGCCUUUCCUUCUGGGGAGCCGCAUGCCCUUCACUGGGUGUGUCGGGGAACCAGGACUUUUACUUUGAAAAAAUUAGAGUGUUCAAAGCAGGCCUAUGCUCGAAUACAUUAGCAUGGAAUAAUAGAAUAGGACGUGUGGUUCUAUUUUGUUGGUUUCUAGGACCGCCGUAAUGAUUAAUAGGGAUAGUCGGGGGCAUCAGUAUUCAAUUGUCAGAGGUGAAAUUCUUGGAUUUAUUGAAGACUAACUACUGCGAAAGCAUUUGCCAAGGAUGUUUUCAUUAAUCAGUGAACGAAAGUUAGGGGAUCGAAGACGAUCAGAUACCGUCGUAGUCUUAACCAUAAACUAUGCCGACUAGGGAUCGGGCGAUGUUAUCUUUUUGACUCGCUCGGCACCUCACGAGAAAUCAAAGUCUUUGG
rnacentral:rRNA from 1 species